rnacentral:lncRNA from 1 species
UGAUUUUUUAAGCAAGCACUGUGAGGAUAGAUAUUGCAGUACUAUCUUUCAUGGAAAACUUUGGAGUAAAAAGCAAAGCAGUAUCUCCAAUGCAUCCAAGAUGGGAUAGAAAAAUUGGUGAUGGUGCAACUGCAGAGAACUGGGAAUAGCUGCCAGCAAGAGCUGCUCUGAGGGAAAGGCAGUGGCUGUUUACCUGCCCUGCUGAGCCAUUCCAGGGAGAACAGGGGAACAAUUAAGCGGUUUGCCUUUCUCACAAUAAGUACUUUCCUGAAACAUGGCUGGAAAGAAAGAAGGAAUCCUAUUGGCAUUUUCAUUGGUGAAAGUCAGAACAUAAGGGUCAGGAUCACAUCCAGUAACAGAACUAAAUCCAGUCCUGCAUCAAGAUGAUGUCAGGGGAUUGCAGACGCCAAGCACAGGGAGCUCCCUCUGAGGUCUUUGAGAUUCCAGCCAGCAUUGGAAGUGACAGCCCAGAUAAGGCAGAAGGACCUGCUACUUACCAAGAGGAGAAAAACAGCAUAAGAGCACUGGUUAAUGGGUGUGCUUUGGAUUCACACUGGAUCCUGGGAGCAGAAUUGUUCCCUGUGGAUGUACAAGUAUCAUGGUAACUCUCCUCAGAGUUUUAGUUGAAGAAGCAUAUCAGUGACUCCUGGAUGAGUGUCCCCUGAAUCUGCUGUUCAGCAGAAUCCCAGUUUCAAAGUGCAGAGGGUACAAAACUCA